rnacentral:rRNA from 1 species
CCUACGGGUGGCAGCAGUGGGGAAUAUUGCACAAUGGGCGCAAGCCUGAUGCAGCCAUGCCGCGUGUGUGAAGAAGGCCUUCGGGUUGUAAAGCACUUUCAGCGGGGAGGAAGGCGUUAAGGUUAAUAACCUUGUCGAUUGACGUUACCCGCAGAAGAAGCACCGGCUAACUCCGUGCCAGCAGCCGCGGUAAUACGGAGGGUGCAAGCGUUAAUCGGAAUUACUGGGCGUAAAGCGCACGCAGGCGGUCUGUCAAGUCGGAUGUGAAAUCCCCGGGCUCAACCUGGGAACUGCAUUCGAAACUGGCAGGCUAGAGUCUUGUAGAGGGGGGUAGAAUUCCAGGUGUAGCGGUGAAAUGCGUAGAGAUCUGGAGGAAUACCGGUGGCGAAGGCGGCCCCCUGGACAAAGACUGACGCUCAGGCGCGAAAGCGUGGGGAGCAAACCGGAUUAGAUACCCGAGUAGUC